rnacentral:misc_RNA from 1 species
AAUCGCCAUGGCUCCAAAAGCAGUGCCGCUCAAAUCGAAAUGAACGGACUCUGAGGUACAAGGGCCUCCAGGACACUCAUCUGUGAUAACUACUGUUACUGGAUUCCCCGAGCAAGCUGAAUUAGAGGUGCAUUUCACCUGAUAACAGGCUCCACAUCCUUUUCCAGAUUUGUAUAGAGAAGGCCCUCCAGCUGCUAUCAUUGAAGAGAAUGGUGGUUGGUCUACAGCAUUUUGAUACCCACAAG